rnacentral:rRNA from 1 species
CCUUAGAUGUUCUGGGCCGCACGCGCGCUACACUGACGGAGCCAGCGAGUUCUCCCUUGACCGGAAGGUCCGGGUAAUCUUGUUAAACUCCGUCGUGCUGGGGAUAGAGCAUUGCAAUUAUUGCUCUUCAACGAGGAAUCCCUAGUAAGCGCAAGUCAUCAGCUUGCGUUGAUUACGUCCCUGCCCUUUGUACACACCGCCCGUCGCUACUACCGAUUGAAUGGCUCAGUGAGGCGUCCGGACUGGCCCAGAGAGGUGGGCAACUACUUCUCAGGGCCGGAAAGCUCUCCAAACUCGGUCAUUUAGAGGAAGUAAAAGUCGUAACAAGGUCUCCGUUGGUGAACCAGCGGAGGGAUCAUUACCGAGUUUUCAACUCCCAAACCCCUGUGAACAUACCAUUUUGUUGCCUCGGCGGUGCCUGUUCCGACAGCCCGCCAGAGGACCCCAAACCCAAACUUCCUUGAGUGAGUCUUCUGAGUAACCGAUUAAAUCAAUCAAAACUUUCAAACAACGGAUCUCUUGGUUCUGGCAUCGAUGAAGAACGCAGCGAAAUGCGAUAAGUAAUGUGAAUUGCAGAAUUCAGUGAAUCAUCGAAUCUUUGAACGCACAUUGCGCCCGCCAGUAUUCUGGCGGGCAUGCCUGUUCGAGCGUCAUUACAUCCCUCAAGCCCCCGGGCUUGGUGUUGGGGAUCGGCGAGCCUCAGCGCCCGCCGUCCCCUAAAUUUAGUGGCGGUCACGCUGUAACUUCCUCUGCGUAGUAGCACACUUAGCACUGGGAAACAGCGCGGCCACGCCGUAAAACCCCCCAACUUUUGAACGUUUGACCUCGAAUCAGGUAGGACUACCCGCUGAACUUAA